rnacentral:rRNA from 1 species
GGAAGUAAAAGUCGUAACAAGGUUUCCGUAGCAAGUCUUUGCGUUGGAACAUGAUUCCUUCCGCAGUGUACACUUAUCGAAGCCUUUGCAGCCGCGCAAGUGGCAGGCCCGAGCGACUAAGUAAAUAAAUUGGAGCCGUUGCAAGUCAGCCUACGGGCUGGCGACACUUUCGAAUUGACGGGAACGCCCUAAAGCCGAUCGCACCAACCCGCGAGGGAAACCUCCCGGGGGCCCGUGGUAACGACACGGGGGAUGGUAACAGACGAUCUGGAUAGUUCUGCCCCUGGGCAGAGAGGAUGGGUAAUCCGCAGCGAAGCCCCUACGUCCCUUGUGGAGGGAUACGGGGAACGUCCACAGACUAAGUGGAAGUGGGUGGGACGUCAUGUCCUGCUUAAGAUAUAGUCGGGCCCCCUGGGAGACCAGGGGGGAAAGUACACUGUCGAGGAUCUACAGAUUUUGGCGACUCGGAGAGAGUUUGGCCCCCAUCUGUGGUCCCUUGGAGAACCGUUCCGUAGGUGAACCUGCGGAAGGAUCAUUACCGAGUGAGGGUCCCUUGCGGGCCCAACCUCCCACCCGUGUUUAACUGUACCGUGUUGCUUCGGCGGGCCCACCGGGGGCCCUGUUCCUGGUCGCCUGGGGGCGUGAAACCCCCCGGGCCCGCGCCCGCCGGAGACCCCAUUGAACCCUGAGUGAAUCGAGUGUCUGAGUGUGAUUUUUAAUCAUUAAAACUUUCAACAACGGAUCUCUUGGUUCCGGCAUCGAUGAAGAACGCAGCGAAAUGCGAUAAGUAAUGUGAAUUGCAGAAUUCCGUGAAUCAUCGAAUCUUUGAACGCACAUUGCGCCCCCUGGCAUUCCGGGGGGCAUGCCUGUCCGAGCGUCAUUGCUACCCCUCAAGCGCGGCUUGUGUGUUGGGCGCUGUCCCUCCCCUUCUUCGGGGGGACAGGCCUGAAAGGCAGUGGCGGCGUCGCGUCCGGUCCUCGAGCGUAUGGGGCUUUGUCACCCGCUCUGUGAGGAUCCGGCCGGGGCCUGUCUCACCCCCAAUCUUCUCUAAGGUUGACCUCGGAUCAGGUAGGGAUACCCGCUGAACUUAAGCAUAUCAAUAAGCGGAGGA